CCGUAGCUCAGCUGGAUAGAGCACCGGCCUUCUAAGCCGUAGGUCACUGGUUCGAAUCCAGUCG
rnacentral:tRNA from 1 species